rnacentral:rRNA from 1 species
AGUGAACGCUGGCGGUAGGCCUAACACAUGCAAGUCGAACGGCAGCACAGUAAGAGCUUGCUCUUACGGGUGGCGAGUGGCGGACGGGUGAGGAAUACAUCGGACUCUACUUUUUCGUGGGGGAUCACGUAGGGAAACUUACGCUAAUACCGCAUACGACCUACGGUUGAAAGCAGGGGAUCUUCGGACCUUGCGCGAUUGAAUGAGCCGAUGUCGGAUUAGCUAGUUGGCGGGGUAAAGGCCCACCAAGGCGGCGAUCCGUAGCUGGUCUGAGAGGAUGAUCGGCCACACUGGAACUGAGACACGGACCAGACGCCUACGGGAGGGACCAGUGGGGAAUAUUGGACAAUGGGCGCAAGCCUGAUCCAGCCAUACCGCGUGGGUGAAGAAGGCCUUCGGGGUGUAAAGCCCUUUUGUUGGGAAAGAAAAGCAGCAGGUUAAUACCCCGCUGUUCUGACGGUACCCAAAGAAUAAGCACCGGCUAACUUCGUG